GUCCACGCCGUAAACGAUGAGUACUAGAUGUUGGGGGAUUUGACCCCCUCGGUAUCGAAGCUAACGCGUUAAGUACUCCGCCUGGGAAGUACGGCCGCAAGGCUAAAACUCAAAGGAAUUGACGGGGGCCCGCACAAGCGGUGGAGCAUGUGGUUUAAUUCGACGCAACGCGAGGAACCUUACCCAGGCUUGACUUCUAGGGAAUCUCUGGGAAACCAGGGAGUGCCUUCGGGAACCCUAAGACAGGUGCUGCAUGGCUGUCGU
rnacentral:rRNA from 1 species